rnacentral:rRNA from 3 species
UGGGGAAUAUUGCACAAUGGAGGGAACUCUGAUGCAGCGACGCCGCGUGAACGAAGAAGGCUUUCGAGUCGUAAAGUUCUUUUAUAUGGGAAGAUAAUGACGGUACCAUGAGAAAAAGCCCCGGCUAACUACGUGCCAGCAGCCGCGGUAAUACGUAGGGGGCUAGCGUUGUCCGGAAUCACUGGGCGUAAAGGGUUCGCAGGCGGAAAUGCAAGUCAGGUGUAAAAGGCAGUAGCUUAACUACUGUAAGCAUUUGAAACUGCAUAUCUUGAGAAGAGUAGAGGUAAGUGGAAUUUUUAGUGUAGCGGUGAAAUGCGUAGAUAUUAAAAAGAAUACCGGUGGCGAAGGCGACUUACUGGGCUCAUUCUGACGCUGAGGAACGAAAGCGUGGGUAGCAAACAGG